CCUACGGGCGGCAGCAGUGAGGAAUAUUGGUCAAUGGGCGGAAGCCUGAACCAGCCAAGUAGCGUGCAGGAUGACGGCCCUACGGGUUGUAAACUGCUUUUAUACGGGACUAACGCGCCUUACGUGUAGGGCUUUGCAUGUACCGUAUGAAUAAGGACCGGCUAAUUCCGUGCCAGCAGCCGCGGUAAUACGGAAGGUCCGGGCGUUAUCCGGAUUUAUUGGGUUUAACGGGAGCGUAGGCCGCAUGUCAAGCGUGAUGUGAAAUGUUCGGGCUCAACCCGGGCCUUGCAGCGCGAACUGGCAUGCUUGGGUCCGCGGAAAGCAGGCGGAAUUCGUCGUGUAGCGGUGAAUGCUUAGAUAUGACGAAGAACCCCGAUUGCGAAGGCAGCUUGCUGCAGCGGAACUGACGCUGAUGCUCGAAAGCGCGGGUAUCGAACAGGAUUAGAUACCCUAGUAGUC
rnacentral:rRNA from 1 species